UGAAACGAUUCUAGUCGAGGCGAAACGAAUUUAAUUGAAUUGUAAUUGAUAAAGAAAUUGUAGCGGCAAAAUAACAGCAACCCAAGCAGAGGCAAUUGCAUACAGAAACAGAAAAAAGAGCAGAAAAGAAGAAAAGAAAAAAGAAGAAGGAUAAGGAGAAGGAGAAGGAGGAGACGAAUAAGCAUAAAACAGAAGAUGAAAGUGAAUCAAAAAUUAAAGUAAAUAUCUCUUCACAUUUUCGUUGGCAUUUAACCGUGGCAAAGAAGAAAUAACAUCAUAAUAAAUAUGUAUAUAUCGUCAUCUAAAGAUACACGUAUUCAUAUGUACUUAUAUAUAUAUGCAUCCAUAUAUAUGUAAAUAGAUAGGCAAUUUCACCGAACAAGUAGAAGCAAUUGAAGCAAUUUGCAACGAACUCUAAGAACUCUUCAGUGCCAAAAAAUUUACAACAUUUUUUCUACCUAACAUCAAAAAUUUUGGAAGGAUAUACUAUUAACUAAAGAUAGAAUCAUAGAUAUAUAGAGAUAAAGAUAAAGAUAGAGAGACGAAGGAAAUGAGCCGGUGUUUUUUCGAAAGGCUUGAACACGAGGGCGGCAUCCCAACCGCCAAACUCAGGCGAAAAACGGGGAAGAUAGAAGAUACACACCUCGAAGCACUAUAGUCAACUUAACUCAAGAGCAAACCUUAAUAAGCUAAUCGCAUAAACAAGCAGAACUUACUCUGAAGAGAGUUUAGCUGCCUCUUACUGACUUAGCUUAACAUCAACGGCACUUGUUAUCGGUGCUGCUUCUUUUAUUACACUAAUCAUCAAAUGAAAGCAUUUUAAGUAAAUUAUACUCGAGAGGUAGAGCGUUGUAUGGAUGGAGGAUGAGUGCGUGCGUUUGCCAGGGUAUAGGUAAAUGUUAUAUGAACUCUGCGGCAAAAAUCUAAUUUAUUUUAUUAAUACCUCCAGUUCACCAUAACCAAUAUUGACUGAUGGCCAAAAAAUUAAAAUUAAGAAAAAAA